rnacentral:rRNA from 1 species
UACACACGGAUAACAUACCGAAAGGUAUGCUAAUACGGGAUAAUAUAUUUGAGAGGCAUCUCUUAAAUAUCAAAGGUGAGCCAGUACAGGAUGGACCCGCGUCUGAUUAGCUAGUUGGUAAGGUAACGGCUUACCAAGGCGACGAUCAGUAGCCGACCUGAGAGGGUGAUCGGCCACAUUGGAACUGAGACACGGUCCAAACUCCUACGGGAGGCAGCAGUGGGGAAUAUUGCACAAUGGGCGAAAGCCUGAUGCAGCAACGCCGCGUGAGUGAUGAAGGCCUUCGGGUCGUAAAACUCUGUCCUCAAGGAAGAUAAUGACGGUACUUGAGGAGGAAGCCCCGGCUAACUACGUGCCAGCAGCCGCGGUAAUACGUAGGGGGCCAGCGUUAUCCGGAUUUACUGGGCGUAAAGGGUGCGUAGGCGGUCUUUCAAGUCAGGAGUGAAAGGCUACGGCUCAACCGUAGUAAGCUCUUGAAACUGGGAGACUUGAGUGCAGGAGAGGAGAGUGGAAUUCCUAGUGUAGCGGUGAAAUGCGUAGAUAUUAGGAGGAACACCAGUUGCGAAGGCGGCUCUCUGGACUGUAACUGACGCUGAGGCACGAAAGCGUGGGGAGCAAACAGGAUUAGAUACCCUGGUAGUCCACGCUGUAAACGAUGAGUACUAGGUGUCGGGGGUUACCCCCUUCGGUGCCGCAG